rnacentral:rRNA from 1 species
GAUGAACGCUGGCGGCGUGCUUAACACAUGCAAGUCGAACGAUGAAGCCCAGCUUGCUGGGUGGAUUAGUGGCGAACGGGUGAGUAACACGUGAGUAACCUGCCCUUGACUCUGGGAUAAGCCUGGGAAACUGGGUCUAAUACUGGAUAUGACUUCGCAUCGCAUGGUGGGGGGUGGAAAGAUUUAUUGGUCUUGGAUGGACUCGCGGCCUAUCAGCUUGUUGGUGAGGGAAUGGCGCACCAAGGCGACGACGGGUAGCCGGCCUGAGAGGGUGAACGGCCACACUGGGACUGAGACACGGCCCAGACUCCUACGGGAGGCAGCAGUGGGGAAUAUUGCACAAUGGGAGCAAGCCUGAUGCAGCGACGCCGCGUGAGGGAUGACGGCCUUCGGGUUGUAAACCUCUUUCAGUAGGGAUGAAGCGAGAGUGACGGUACCUGCAGAAGAAGCACCGGCUAACUACGUG